GGUGGCGACCGGCGCACGGGUGCGUAACGCGUAUAGAACCUACCUUUUACAGAGGGAUAGCCCAGAGAAAUUUGGAUUAAUACCUCAUAGUAUUAUAAAGUGGCAUCAUUUAAUAAUUAAAACUUCGGUGGUAAAAGAUGGCUAUGCGUUCUAUUAGCUAGUAGGUAAGGUAACGGCUUACCUAGGCAACGAUAGAUAGGGGUCCUGAGAGGGAGAUCCCCCACACUGGUACUGAGACACGGACCAG
rnacentral:rRNA from 1 species